rnacentral:rRNA from 1 species
AUUGAACGCUGGCGGCAUGCCUUACACAUGCAAGUCGAACGGCAGCACGGGGCAACCUGGUGGCGAGUGGCGAACGGGUGAGUAAAGUAUCGGAACGUACCAUUCAGUGGGGGAUAACGUAGCGAAAGUUACGCUAAUACCGCAUAUUCUCUCUGGAAGAAAGCAGGGGAUCGCAAGACCUUGCGCUGAUUGAGCGGCCGAUAUCCGAUUAGCUAGUUGGUGAGGUAAAGGCUCACAAAGGCGACGAUCUGUAGCGGGUCUGAGAGGAUGAUCCGCCACACUGGAACUGAGACACGGUCCAGACUACUACGGGAGGCAGCAGUGGGGAAUUUUGGACAAUGGGGGCAACCCUGAUCCAGCCAUGCCGCGUGAGUGAAGAAGGCCUUCGGGUUGUAAAGCUCUUUCGGCCGGGAAGAAAUCGCACGGGCUAAUACCCUGUGUGGAUGACGGUACCGGAAUAAGAAGCACCGGCUAACUACGUGCCAGCAGCCGCCGUAACAC